rnacentral:rRNA from 1 species
UACGUAGGGUGCGAGCGUUGUCCGGAAUUAUUGGGCGUAAAGGGCGCGUAGGCGGUCAGCACAAGUCAGUUGUGAAAUCUCCGAGCUUAACUCGGAAAGGUCAACUGAUACUGUGCGACUAGAGUGCGGAAGGGGCAACUGGAAUUCUUGGUGUAGCGGUGAAAUGCGUAGAUAUCAAGAGGAACACCUGCGGCGAAGGCGGGUUGCUGGGCCGACACUGACGCUGAUGCGCGAAAGCCAGGGGAGCGAACGGG